rnacentral:rRNA from 1 species
UACGGGGGGGGCAAGCGUUGUUCGGAAUUACUGGGCGUAAAGGGCUCGUAGGCGGCCAACUAAGUCAGACGUGAAAUCCCUCGGCUUAACCGGGGAACUGCGUCUGAUACUGGAUGGCUUGAAUCCGGGAGAGGGAUGCGGAAUUCCCGGUGUAGUGGUGAAAUGCGUAGAUAUCGGGAGGAACACCAGUGGCGAAGGCGGCAUCCUGGCCAUGUCCUGACGCUCAGGGGCGAAAGCGUGGGGAGCAAACCGG